rnacentral:rRNA from 1 species
GAUGAACGCUGGCGGCGUGCCUAAUACAUGCAAGUCGAGCGAACAGACGAGGAGCUUGCUCCUCUGACGUUAGCGGCGGACGGGUGAGUAACACGUGGAUAACCUACCUAUAAGACUGGGAUAACUUCGGGAAACCGGAGCUAAUACCGGAUAAUAUAUUGAACCGCAUGGUUCAAUAGUGAAAGACGGGUUUGCUGUGUCUUAUAGAUGGAUCCGCGCCGCAUUAGCUAGUUGGUAAGGUAACGGCUUACCAAGGCAACGAUGCGUAGCCGACCUGAGAGGGUGAUCGGCCACACUGGAACUGAGACACGGUCCAGACUCCUACGGGAGGCAGCAGUAGGGAAUCUUCCGCAAUGGGCGAAAGCCUGACGGAGCAACGCCGCGUGAGUGAUGAAGGUCUUCGGAUCGUAAAACUCUGUUAUUAGGGAAGAACAAAUGUGUAAGUAACUAUGCACGUCUUGACGGUACCUAAUCAGAAAGCCACGGCUAACUACGUG